rnacentral:misc_RNA from 1 species
UGGCUAGUGGAAGAAAAAUAGUUAGGAAAGGUUUUAUGUGCACUUUUUAUAAAAAGAAUGAAGUAAAAAUAUUUAAUUUUGAAGCUAUAAAGUGUAAUAACCCUCUAGAAAAAAAAUGAUCGAAUCGAUAGAUUCAUAUGAUUCACUCGAUUCACUAUCGAAUCGUAACAGUCAAGAUUCAAGUACACUUUAGAUUCAACCUCUAUAUUCGAAUCACCAACACUUUAGAUUCAACCUCUAUAUUC